UACGUAGGGUGCAAGCGUUGUCCGGAAUUAUUGGGCGUAAAGAGCUCGUAGGCGGUUCGUCGCGUCGGCUGUGAAAUCCCGGAGCUCAACUCCGGGUCUGCAGUCGAUACGGGCGGACUCGAGUUCGGCAGGGGAGACUGGAAUUCCUGGUGUAGCGGUGAAAUGCGCAGAUAUCAGGAGGAACACCGAUGGCGAAGGCAGGUCUCUGGGCAGUAACUGACGCUGAGGAGCGAAAGCGUGGGGAGCGAACAGG
rnacentral:rRNA from 1 species